GAUGAACGCUGGCGGCGUGCCUAAUACAUGCAAGUCGAGCGGACUUAGAAAGCUUGCUUUCUAAGUUAGCGGCGGACGGGUGAGUAACACGUAGGUAACCUGCCUUGUAGACAGGGAUAACAUCGAGAAAUCGGUGCUAAUACCGGAUAUUUCAUUUUUGUCGCAUGGGGAGAAUGAGAAAGGUGGCGCAAGCUACCACUACGAGAUGGACCUGCGGCGCAUUAGCUAGUUGGUGAGGUAACGGCUCACCAAGGCAAUGAUGCGUUGCCGACCUGAGAGGGUGAUCGGCCACACUGGGACUGAGACACGGCCCAGACUCCUACGGGAGGCAGCAGUAGGGAAUCUUCCGCAACGGACGAAAGUCUGACGGAGCAACGCCGCGUGAGUGAUGAAGGUUUUCGGAUC
rnacentral:rRNA from 1 species